UACGUAGGGGGCUAGCGUUGUCCGGAUUUAUUGGGCGUAAAGAGCGCGCAGGCGGUCGUUCAAGUCGCGUGUGAAAGCCCCCGGCUCAACUGGGGAGGUCACGCGAUACUGAUCGACUCGAAGGCAGGAGAGGGUAGUGGAAUUCCCGGUGUAGUGGUGAAAUGCGUAGAUAUCGGGAGGAACACCAGUGGCGAAGGCGACUUCCUGGCCUGUUCUUGACGCUGAGGCGCGAAAGCUAGGGUAGCAAACGGG
rnacentral:rRNA from 1 species